GCUUAGGAGUUAACCAAGACAGUAACCACAUCCCACUGUCCGCCAGAGCACUACAAGUGAAAAACUUAAAACUCAAAGGACUUGACGGUACUCCACACCACACUAGAGGAGCCUGUCCUAUAAUCGAUAACCCACGUUUAACCUCACCUGCCCUUGCACAACCCAGCCUAUAUACCGCCGUCCACAGCCCGCCUUACAAAAGCACCAACAGCGCGCCAACCAGUCACCACUAAGACGUCAGGUCAAGGUGUAGCUAACGAGCAGGAAGAGAUGGGCUACAUUUUCUUAACCACAGAAAACCACCAGAAAUACCAUGAAACAGGUACACAAAGGAGGAUUUAGCAGUAAGCCAUGCAAGACAAGCCUGACUGAACAGUGCCCUGGAAUGCGU
rnacentral:rRNA from 1 species